GGACAGAUAAAUUUGUGUGGCAGUAUAGAUCGAGCACAGUUGGGAACCAAGGACUGAACCUUGGGGGAGACCAACAGAGAGAGGUUGGGAGGGAGAGGCAGAGACAGAGAACGAAAUACUAAAAGAGUGCGGGGUGAGGUAGGAGCACCAGGAGAGAGCAAUAUCUCAUAGAUUGAGAUUAAGGAGGAUGAGAAGAAGCUGUUGAUGAUCAACAGUAUCAAAAGCAGUGACAAGGUCAAGGAGAAUUAGGAUAGAGUAGUGACCAUGAGAUUUUGCAGCGAGUGGAUCAUUUGAUACUUUGGUCAGAGCCGUUUCCACAGAGUGCUGAGCGCGGACACCAGACUGAAGUGGGUCGAGCAGAGAACUGGACUUGAGGAAGUUUGUCAAUCUCG